rnacentral:rRNA from 1 species
GACGAACGCUGGCGGCGUGCUUAACACAUGCAAGUCGAACGGAAAGGCCCUGCUUUUGUGGGGUGCUCGAGUGGCGAACGGGUGAGUAACACGUGAGUAACCUGCCCUUGACUUUGGGAUAACUUCAGGAAACUGGGGCUAAUACCGGAUAGGAGCUCCUGCUGCAUGGUGGGGGUUGGAAAGUUUCGGCGGGUGGGGAUGGACUCGCGGCUUAUCAGCUUGUUGGUGGGGUAGUGGCUUACCAAGGCUUUGGCGGGUAGCCGGCCUGAGGGGGUGACCGGCCACAUGGGGACUGAGAGCGGGCCCAAGCCCCUCGGGGGGGCGGCAGGGGGGAAUUUUGCCCAAGGGGGGGAAGCCUGAGCACGAACCCCCGGGGGGGGGAUGAGGGCCUUGGGGUGGUAAACCGUUUUCCCCUGGGACGAAGGGGGGGUGACGGUAAGGGGUAAAGAAGCCCCGGCUAACUACGU